rnacentral:tRNA from 1 species
GGGGGGAUAGCUCAGUUGGUUAGAGCCGUCCGCUCAUAACGGAUUGGUCGGGGGUUCGAGUCCCUCUCCCCCUA